UUUAUUUAUCAGUUACAUUUAUAAAUUAGUAAACGAUAGAAAUGCAAUAUUGAGGAACAUUUUAUGCGACAGAAACACUGCAGUAGGCCUAUACAAACAAGAAUAAAAUACAUUUUAUUAAAUCAUGUUCUCUUUUUAGCGUAGUCGUGUUGCGUCGUAGUGCUAUCUACUUUUGCUUUCUGAUUAAAACAUUAUCAUAUAAUAUAAGUUGUCUCCCUAUUGAUAAGGAUGCGUGCCUAAUAUCACCCCAGCGUGUCACACAUAUCUCUGCCUGGCCCUGUGACCCUCGCCCGAUCAGCUGACCAUCAACCAGCGGGGCGGUGAGACAUUCCGUCCCCGACCGGAGGGGAUGCCUUGGCCCGCGGAUCGCAUCGCCUCUCCCCGCGGAUCGCAUCGCCUCUCCCCGCUCUGCCAGCACUGCAACUCGUGGGACGGAGCAGGAGGUGGACUCCACUCCAGGAAACAAAAGUGACAUUUCCGCAUGUCUUCUGCCUUCCAAAGCUGGCGUCCGACCAAUGAGACUCAGAUUGUGGUUCUCCACUUAACGUUUCUGUCGAUGUCACGUGACUGCUUGCUUGCUUCAGAUGACACCGGUUGAUCGCCAGGUGUACGCAAGGUGUCUGUUUCUUCGAUAGUGGUUUGUGCAUCUCUAUGUUACUUCUAGAUGUUAGCUCCAAAACAAGUCGCACACAUUGAAAGAGGAAGUGUUAUUUGACGACAAGAAGGGGAUCAGUAGCCACUAUGCUGAAGCUGAAGACAAAGUUUGAUCUGCGGAGAGAUGUGGUGGCUGAUAUCCUCAGGAAAGAGCCGACUGUGGGGAGAGUCGAGACAGGAAUGUCCUCUGCGGAUUAUUCUGGGGCUGUGGACACUGCAUCGUGAACGUGGAGAGAGAUGGGGGAUUCUCUACUCCUGGAAGGGGGCAUCUGGGACCACUAGGAUUGGGAAAUAUGACCCGACCACAAAGGACAACAAGCUCUUGUAUACGCUUGACCAGCAGGUGUGUGAGCAGUUGUUCUCUGAACAAGGAGGAGACACUCCUGGGUGAGAGAUAAAUCUACUAAAAACAAUUAAAUAUCCCCAAAUAAAACCACCUCAUAAACAUUAUUUGUGACUGCCUCACCAGGACCCAGUCCUUGGAGAUGUUUACUAGGCAGUUAGUCUGGGCCCUUUUAAAAUCCUUGAUUACAUUAAGGGGCUGGAGAUAUUUUUCAUAAAGUCAUAUUGGGAAGCUAUACUUGGG
ensembl:lncRNA